rnacentral:rRNA from 1 species
UACGGGGGGGCAAGCGUUGUUCGGAAUUACUGGGCGUAAAGGGCUCGUAGGCGGCCAACUAAGUCAGACGUGAAAUCCCUCGGCUUAACCGGGGAACUGCGUCUGAUACUGGAUGGUUUGAGAUUGGGAGAGGGAUGCGGAAUUCCAGGUGUAGCGGUGAAAUGCGUAGAUAUCUGGAGGAACACCGGUGGCGAAGGCGGCAUCCUGGACCAACACUGACGCUGAGGAGCGAAAGCCAGGGGAGCAAACGGG